GACGAACGCUGGCGGCGCGCCUAACACAUGCAAGUCGAACGGAGUCAAGAGGAGCUUGCUUUUCUUGACUUAGUGGCGAACGGGUGAGUAACGCGUGAGUAGCCUGCCCUGGAGUGGGGGACAACAGUUGGAAACGACUGCUAAUACCGCAUAAGCCCACGGAUCUGCAUGGAUCUGCGGGAAAAGGAUUUAUUCGCUCUAGGAUGGACUCGCGUCCAAUUAGCUAGUUGGUGAGGUAACGGCCCACCAAGGCGACGAUUGGUAGCCGGACUGAGAGGUUGAACGGCCACAUUGGGACUGAGACACGGCCCAGACUCCUACGGGAGGCAGCAGUGGGGGAUAUUGCACAAUGGGGGAAACCCUGAUGCAGCGACGCCGCGUGGAGGAAGAAGGUUUUCGGAUUGUAAACUCCUGUCGUUAGGGACGAUAAUGACGGUACCUAACAAGAAAGCACCAGCUAACUACGUG
rnacentral:rRNA from 1 species